CGCCAGACUCCUACGGGAGGCAGCAGUGAGGAAUAUUGGUCAAUGGCCGGAAGGCUGAACCAGCCAAGCCGCGUGAAGGACGACGGCCCUACGGGUUGUAAACCUCUUUUGUCGGGGAGCAAAUUCCGUUACGUGUAACGGAGUCGAGAGUACCCGAAGAAAAAGCAUCGGCUAACUCCGUGCCAGCAGCCGCGGUAAUACGGAGGAUGCGAGCGUUAGCCGGAUUUAUUGGGUUUAAAGGGAGCGUAGGCCGGUCUUUAAGCGUGCCGUGAAAUUUGGUGGCUCAACCAGGAGAGUGCGGCGCGAACUGGAGACCUUGAGUGCGCGGAAGGCAGGCGGAAUUCGUGGUGUAGCGGUGAAAUGCUUAGAUAUCACGAAGAACCCCGAUUGCGAAGGCAGCCUGCCGCAGCGUUACUGACGCUGAAGCUCGAAAGCGCGGGUAUCGAACAGGAUUAGAUACCCGCGUA
rnacentral:rRNA from 1 species